rnacentral:misc_RNA from 1 species
GUUUCCUUUGGUUUUCGUUUGAACCCUUCAGCACUUCCAUACCCAAGACUCCUAGGUCCAUGUUCUCCAAUCUUGACGAGGAGAAAAAGGCGCGCUUGAGGGAAAGAAUUCUUCAAGCCGCUGCCGCGCCUCCUUCAGCCGCCACGCCGGCAAGGUCCAACAGUGGCAGCGACGGUGAGCAAGAAGUGCCACCGCAGCACACUGAGAGCACGAAGCACGCGUCUGAGCAGCUAGCGAUCAAUGCCAAAAGCACCGACAUUGACAUUGCCAACAUUCGGCUCUUCACCCUUGAUGAGCUCGACCUUAAUCAGCUCACCGAGUGCAAGACUCUCUCUCUGCGCAAGAAUCUCAUUCAUGAGCUCUCUGCUUUCCCGCAACACUUGGCCGGGCGGCUUGUUGAACUAGAUUUGUUUGACAACAAGAUCAGGAAGGUGCGCGACUUUUUUGACUCGGCAAUGGUGCCAGACCCCGAAAGUGGAUCUCUCUCGAAGAAGGCAGUCCCGCACGCGUUUUACUCUCUCACCAAGCUUGAUUUGAGCUACAAUCAGCUACGCAAGAUCACGGGCCUAGAUUCUCUAGGCUCGACGCUUAAGGAGCUGUACUUGGUGGAGAACAAAAUCAAAGUCAUCGAAGGGCUCGAUAGCUUCGUCCACCUCGAGCUUCUCGAACUUGGCGGCAACCGCAUUCGCGAAAUCGGAUCUGGCCUCUCUAACCUGCGGUCUUUACAGAGCCUCUGGCUUGGCAAAAACAAGAUCCACAGUAUUGGCGACUCCCUUCACAAUCUUCGCGAGCUUCGGAAGCUUAGCCUUCAAGCGAAUCGGCUGGCAUCCAUUACCGAAGAGGCGUUCAAGGAAGGCUGCAACCCGUAUCUCACCGAGCUUUACCUGUCAGAAAACGGCAUUAGUACCAUCGAGAACCUGCCUCUGCACUCUCUUCACCUGCUUGAUUUCAG